CACAUCUCCAACGGGGGCUCGCACCAGCGGGCUGAGAGGACGGCUAUCGGGCCGUCGACCGUAUGAACCUGACCGGGUAAUGCCGGCGUAGGGAGGGAAUUUUGUCGAAGA
rnacentral:ncRNA from 2 species